GGCACUGGGCAGAGAGUAGCAUGUGCCACCAUUUAUUGUGGCUGAGGAUGAUGGGAGUUGUAGUUCAACAGCAACCGGAGAGCCAAGGGUGCCUACCCCUAUACGAGGGGCUGGAUGGAAAACCUUCCCCCAGGGCUAACCAUCGGCUGGAAAGACGCCUCAUUCUGUGCCACUAUAUAUACUCUGCACUAGGUGCUGUUCAAACAAUUUAUGGUCAUGCAAAUUUAUUUAUUUAUUUUAUAUUUUAUUUUAUCGUUGAAUUUAUAGACCGCCUUUCAUUAAAAACAAUCUCAAGGUGGUAUACGAAAGUUAAAAUGGCCGCCACAGGCACGCAGAGGGCCGAAAAGGUCCUGAAACAGGCCGAACCAACCCUUGGAGACAUGGGGGAAGCCUGGCAGGGGGAGGAGGAGCUGCUGGAGACCCCCCCUCCCGUGGCCACUGCAGCCUUGCAGAGGCCACCACAGCUGCCGGAGACCUCAGCAGCUGCAGCAGGCAAAGAGGACGGCAAUCCAUGGCACAGCGCCUUAGCGUUCAUGUGUCUGCGUUUGAAGGCAUGUGCGCUCAGGACAGGAAAUGUCCACUGCACCUCAAUUGGAAAUUUAAUUUCUGGAGACCCCAGGGAGGGAACGGAACCCUGAUGAAGGACAACUCUCCAUAUUGUAACACGGCAUCCGCCAAAGAGCUCUGCCCAAAUCCAGGAACUUCUGAGCGACAACCAAGACACCUGAGCUUUGAAACUUAAGAAGUUUCCCACCCUUGUGCUAGAUAGCACACACAGUUAUAUACGGCUCUUGGGAAGGCAGGCAUGAUGGACAGAAGGAGGAGAGCUGGUCUUGCUAACUGAGGAAAGAGACACCUUUUAAAGUGGCGAUUCUCUUAUAUUUAGCAGGGGGAGAGCAGCUGGCCCUAUCCAACCCCAGCAUAGCAUCCCUCCAGUGGCUGCUUCUGGUAUCUGCCUUGUGUUUCUUUUUAGAUUGCGAGCCCUUUGGGGACAGGGAACCAUCUUAUUUAUGUAUUAUUUAUUUUUCCAUGUAAACUGCUUUGAUAAUUUUGUUGGAGAGCAGUAUAUAAAUAGUACUAGUCGUCGUAGUAGCAGCAAACACAAUUGUCCCCUUUGCAAAGCAGGGUCUGCCCUGGUUUGCCUUUGAAUGGGAGACUACACGUGUGAGCACUAUAAGAUAUUCCCCUCAGGGGAUGGGGCCACUCUGGGAAGAGCAUCUAGGUUCCCAGUUUCCUCCCUGGCAGCAUCUCCAAGACAGUGCUGAGAGAGAUUUCUGCCUGCAACCCUGGAGAAGCUGCUGCCAGCCUGUGUAGACAGUACUGAGCUAGAUAGACCAAGGGUCUGACUCGGUAUACGGCAGCUCCCUAUGUUUCUAGGUUUGUUCAUCCAUAUUUUUUAAUUUGUUUGUUUGUUAUUUCUCGAUGUAAACCACUUUGGAAACGUUUGUUGAAAAGCAGUACAUAAAGAUUUGUUUUGU